CAGUAGCCACGGUAAUACGAAGGGGGCUAGCGUUGUUCGGAUUUACUGGGCGUAAAGCGCACGUAGGCGGACUUUUAAGUCAGGGGUGAAAUCCCGGGGCUCAACCCCGGAACUGCCUUUGAUACUGGAAGUCUUGAGUAUGGUAGAGGUGAGUUGAAUUCCGAGUGUAGAGGUGAAAUUCGUAGAUAUUCGGAGGAACACCAGUGGCGAAGGCGGCUCACUGGACCAUUACUGACGCUGAGGUGCGAAAGCGUGGGGAGCAAACAGGAUUAGAUACCCCUGUAGUCCCUGUCUCUUAUAC
rnacentral:rRNA from 1 species